rnacentral:rRNA from 1 species
UACGAAGGGGGCUAGCGUUGCUCGGAAUCACUGGGCGUAAAGGGUGCGUAGGCGGGGUUCUUAAGUCAGAGGUGAAAUCCUGGAGCUCAACUCCAGAACUGCCUUUGAUACUGAGAGUCUUGAGUUCGGGAGAGGUGAGUGGAACUGCGAGUGUAGAGGUGAAAUUCGUAGAUAUUCGCAAGAACACCAGUGGCGAAGGCGGACUCACUGGCCCGAUACUGGACGCUGACUGCCACGAAAGCGUGGGGGAG